rnacentral:rRNA from 2 species
AGGCGGGCGGGCUAACACUGCAAGUCGCACGAACUCUUCGGAGUUAGUGGCGGACGGGUGAGUAACACGUGGGAACGUGCCUUUAGGUUCGGAAUAACUCAGGGAAACUUGUGCUAAUACCGAAUGUGCCCUUCGGGGGAAAGAUUUAUCGCCUUUAGAGCGGCCCGCGUCUGAUUAGCUAGUUGGUGAGGUAAAGGCUCACCAAGGCGACGAUCAGUAGCUGGUCUGAGAGGAUGAUCAGCCACAUUGGGACUGAGACACGGCCCAAACUCCUACGGGAGGCAGCAGUGGGGAAUCUUGCGCAAUGGGCGAAAGCCUGACGCAGCCAUGCCGCGUGAAUGAUGAAGGUCUUAGGAUUGUAAAAUUCUUUCACCGGGGACGAUAAUGACGGUACCCGGAAAAGAAGCCCCCGCUAACUUCCUGCCAGCAGCCGCGGUAAUACCAAGGGGGCUAGCGUU